rnacentral:rRNA from 1 species
ACAUACCUACAACUGUUGCUUCGGCGGGUAGGGUCCCCGUGACCCUCCCGGCCUCCCGCCCCCCCGGGCGGGUCGGCGCCCGCCGGAGGAUAACCAAACUCUGAUUUAACGACGUUUCUUCUGAGUGGUACAAGCAAAUAAUCAAAACUUUUAACAACGGAUCUCUUGGUUCUGGCAUCGAUGAAGAACGCAGCGAAAUGCGAUAAGUAAUGUGAAUUGCAGAAUUCAGUGAAUCAUCGAAUCUUUGAACGCACAUUGCGCCCGCCAGCAUUCUGGCGGGCAUGCCUGUUCGAGCGUCAUUUCAACCCUCAAGCUCUGCUUGGUGUUGGGGCCCUACAGCUGAUGUAGGCCCUCAAAGGUAGUGGCGGACCCUCCCGGAGCCUCCUUUGCGUAGUAACUUUACGUCUCGCACUGGGAUCCGGAGGGACUCUUGCCGUAAAACCCCCCAAUUUUCCAAAGGUUGACCUCGGAUCAGGUAGGAAUACCCGCUGAA